UGGAAGUAAAAAUCGUAACAAGGUCUCCGUAGGUGAACCUGCGGAGGGAUCAUUAACGAUUUCGGUUUACGCCGUCUUCUACCUUUGUCUAUGCGUACCACAUGUUUCCUCGGGGGGCUUGCCUCCCGGUAGGACUCACUAUCAACCUUUUUGCAAUAGCAGUCAGCGUCUGAUAACUAAGUUAAUUAUUAAAACUUUCAACAAUGGAUCUCUUGGUUCUGGCAUCGAUGAAGAACGCAGCGAAAUGCGAUAAGUAGUGUGAAUUGCAGAAUUCAGUGAAUCAUCGAAUCUUUGAACGCACAUUGCGCCCCUUGGUAUUCCAUGGGGCAUGCCUGUUCGAGCGUCAUUUGAACCCUCAAGCUCUGCUUGGUGUUGGGCGUUUGUCCUGCUAUGGGACUCGCCUUAAAGCAAUUGGCAGCCAUGUAAUUCGGCUUUGAGCGCAGCACAUUGCGUACUCUAUGCUGGUACAUUGGCCUCCAGAAGCCCAUUUUUUACUCUUGACCUCGGAUCAGGUAGGGAUACCCGCUGAACUUAAGCAUAUCAAUAAGCCGGAGGA
rnacentral:rRNA from 1 species